GGGGAUUUAGCUCAGCGGUAGAGCAGUUGCCUAGCAAGUGCAAGGCCCUGGGUUCGAUCCCCAGCUCCA
rnacentral:tRNA from 1 species